GAUGAACGCUGGCGGCGUGCUUAACACAUGCAAGUCGAACGGAAAGGCUCCUGCUUGCAGGGGUACUCGAGUGGCGAACGGGUGAGUAACGCGUGGGUGAUCUGCCCUGCACUUCGGGAUAAGCCUGGGAAACUGGGUCUAAUACCGGAUAGGACGAUGGUUUGGAUGCCAUUGUGGAAAGUUUUUCGGUGUGGGAUGAGCUCGCGGCCUAUCAGCUUGUUGGUGGGGUAAUGGCCUACCAAGGCGUCGACGGGUAGCCGGCCUGAGAGGGUGUACGGCCACAUUGGGACUGAGAUACGGCCCAGACUCCUACGGGAGGCAGCAGUGGGGAAUAUUGCACAAUGGGCGCAAGCCUGAUGCAGAGACGCCGCGUGGGGGAUGACGGCCUUCGGGUUGUAAACUCCUUUCGCUAGGGACGAAGCGCAAGUGACGGUACCUGGAGAAGAAGCACCGGCUAACUACGUG
rnacentral:rRNA from 1 species